CUUGAGAUGGGAAUAAACCCGGGAAACUGGGUAUAAUACCCGAUAGAUCUCGACUGCUGGAAUGCAUCGAGAUCCAAAGCUCCGGCGCUCAAGGAUGGAUCUGCGGCCUAUCAGGUAGUAGUGGGUGUAGCGUACCUACUAGCCUACGACGGGUACGGGUUGUGAGAGCAAGAGCCCGGAGAUGGAUUCUGAGACACGAAUCCAGGCCCUACGGGGUGCAGCAGGCGCGAAAACUUUACAAUGCUGGAAACAGCGAUAAGGGGACCUCGAGUGCCAGGUUACAAAUCUGGCUGUCGUGAUGCCUAAAAAGCAUUGCAUAGCAAGGGCCGGGCAAGACCGGUGCCAGCCGCCGCGGUAACACCGGCGGCUCGAGUGGUAACCGUUAUUAUUGGGUCUAAAGGGUCUGUAGCCGGCCGGAUAAGUCUCUUGGGAAAUCUGGCAGCUUAACUGUCAGGCUUUCAGGAGAUACUGUCUGGCUCGAGGCCGGGAGAGGUGAGAGGUACUUCAGGGGUAGGGGUGAAAUCUUGUAAUCCUUGAAGGACCACCAGUGGCGAAGGCGUCUCACCAGAACGGACCUGACGGCAAGGGACGAAAGCUAGGGGCACGAACCGGAUUAGAUACCCGGGUAGUCCUAGCCGUAAACGAUACUCGCUAGGUGUCGGCAACGGUGCGACCGUUGUCGGUGCCGUAGGGAAGCCGUGAAGCGAGCCACCUGGGAAGUACGGCCGCAAGGCUGAAACUUAAAGGAAUUGGCGGGGGAGCACCACAACGGGUGGAGCUUGCGGUUUAAUUGGAUUCAACGCCGGAAAUCUUACCGGGACCGACAGCAAUAUGAAGGCCAGGCUGAGACUUUGCCGGAUUAGCUGAGAGGUGUGCAUGG
rnacentral:rRNA from 1 species